GACGAACGCUGGCGGCGUGCCUAAUACAUGCAAGUCGAACGGUCUUUUCUAUGGAAGCUUGCUUCCACUGAGAAGAUAGUGGCGAACGGGUGAGUAACACGUGGGUAACCUGCCCAUAAGAGGGGGAUAACAUCCGGAAACGGGUGCUAAUACCGCAUAGUUUUCUUGAUCGCAUGAUCGGGAAAGGAAAGACGGCCUUUGUGCUGUCGCUUAUGGAUGGACCCGCGGCGUAUUAGUUAGUUGGUGAGGUAACGGCUCACCAAGACGAUGAUACGUAGCCGACCUGAGAGGGUGAUCGGCCACAUUGGGACUGAGACACGGCCCAAACUCCUACGGGAGGCAGCAGUAGGGAAUCUUCCGCAAUGGACGAAAGUCUGACGGAGCAACGCCGCGUGAGUGAAGAAGGUUUUCGGAUCGUAAAACUCUGUUGUCAGAGAAGAACAAGUUGGAGAGUAACUGCUCCAGCCUUGACGGUAUCUGACCAGAAAGCCACGGCUAACUACGUG
rnacentral:rRNA from 2 species